GUGAAUCAUCGAAUCUUUGAACGCACAUUGCGCCCGCUAGUAUUCUGGCGGGCAUGCCUGUUCGAGCGUCAUUUCAACCAUCAAGCCCCAGGCUUGUGUUGGAGCCCUGCGGCCGCCCGCAGCCUCCUAAAAACAGUGGCGGGCUCGCUAUUACACCGAGUGCAGUAGUUUACUCUUCGCUCAGGGCGUGUAGCGGGUUCCAGCCGUUAAAACCCCUACUUCUUAAGGUUGACCUCGGAUCAGGUAGGAAUACCCGCUGAACUUAAGCAUAUCAAUAAGCGGAGGA
rnacentral:misc_RNA from 1 species